UACGUAGGGUGCGAGCGUUAAUCGGAAUUACUGGGCGUAAAGCGUGCGCAGGCGGUUAUUUAAGUCAGGUGUGAAAGCCCUGGGCUUAACCUAGGAAUUGCGCUUGAGACUGGAUAGCUUGGAGUGCGGCAGAGGGAGGUGGAAUUCCACGUGUAGCAGUGAAAUGCGUAGAGAUGUGGAGGAACACCGAUGGCGAAGGCAGCCUCCUGGGCCGAUACUGACACUGAGGAGCGAAAGCGUGGGGAGCGAACAGG
rnacentral:rRNA from 1 species